rnacentral:autocatalytically_spliced_intron from 1 species
UUUAUAAUCUUUUCAAAAAAAGGUUAAACAUUGGCUUAUAACGGAGAACGCCAUAUUAUUUGCUCAAAUAUAUGGUCAACCCCGUGGGAAGUUUACAAUUAUUUAAUUGUAUAACCCCGUAGAGACUUGUUCUAAUUUGUAGAACAGAUAAAAGUUUAUUUAAAACUUUUAUAACACGCCAACGCCUCGUUAAGCGAGGAUGAAGAUAUAGUCCGAUCCUUAGAGUAAUCUAAGA